rnacentral:rRNA from 1 species
UACGAAGGGGGCUAGCGUUGCUCGGAAUCACUGGGCGUAAAGGGCGCGUAGGCGGCCUUGUAAGUUGGGGUGAAAGCCCGUGGCUCAACCACGGAAUUGCCUUCGAUACUGCUUGGCUUGAGUGUGGUAGAGGUUGGUGGAACUGCGAGUGUAGAGGUGAAAUUCGUAGAUAUUCGCAAGAACACCGGUGGCGAAGGCGGCCAACUGGACCAUCACUGACGCUGAGGCGCGAAAGCGUGGGGAGC